CCGCCAUUAGCUCAUCAGGAAGAGCAGACGACAACCAGGAUUGUUGUAUGGUACGGGGUUCGAGGCCCCGAUGGCGGUCCA
rnacentral:tRNA from 97 species